AUUGAACGCUGGCGGCAGGCCUAACACAUGCAAGUCGAACGAGUGGCGGACGGGUGAGUAAUGUCUGGGAAACUGCCCGAUGGAGGGGGAUAACUACUGGAAACGGUAGCUACUACCGCAUACCAUCGGAUGUGCCCAGAUGGGAUUAGCUAGUAGGUGGGGUAACGGCUAACCUAGGCGACGACCCCUAGCUGGUCUGAGAGGAUGACCAGCGACACUGGAAAAGAGACCCGGUCCAGACUCCUACGGGGGGCAGCAGUGGAGAAUAUUGAACAAUGGGCGCAAGCCUGAUGCAGCCAUGCCGGGUGUAUGAAGAAGGCCUUCGGGUUGUAAAGUACUUUCAGCGAGGAGGCGUUACUCGCAGAAGAAGCACCGGCUAACUCCGUGCCAGCAGCCGCGGUAAUUC
rnacentral:rRNA from 1 species